GGCAAAACCUCCAAAAUCCUCACUUUUUCAACCCACUAAAUCGGUGGGUUGCGAGGUUUUUCUACCUUGCCUCCUUACCUUACCUUACUUUAUAAAAUCUUACCUCACUCUAUCCAAACGCACUGUAAAGUAUAUGCAGCCUUAUUCCCUUGUUGUAAACCACCAAGUCAAUUUACUUUACCAGGGUAAAACUUAUUGCAGCCCGGAGCACAAGUAUGAAACUUGUUCUAUCUCACCUUAUUUAAAGAGGCAGUCUCUAUUGAAUCCAGCAUUUCAGUUCUCUAAUUCAAUGUUAUGUUUUUUGAAAUAUGUUGUGGACAACAAUUUUAUGGUCUCAGGUACCCUUCCAAGGAAGAUGUGUCAUGUUGUUAGAGUUACUAAGGACUUCCUCAAGAGGCAACCCGAAGCCCUUUUUGUUGUUGGGGCAUAGGGCAUUGGAAAAGAAUUUGUUUCUCUUGCCAUUUCCAAGGCAUUAGGGGUAUGUUUGUUUGCUGUUUCACUGAAGUAUUUUACCUCAUGUAGCGAAUAAAGUUGUUUAUUCCUUGAGGUAGAUGUGGAGGCUUCUUUUUCCU
rnacentral:misc_RNA from 1 species